rnacentral:rRNA from 1 species
UACAGAGGGGGCAAGCGUUAUUCGGAAUUAUUGGGCGUAAAGGGCGCGUAGGCGGUUCGGCAAGUCUCUAGUGAAAUCUCUGGGCUCAACUCAGAGUCUGCUGGGGAAACUGCCGGGCUUGAGUGUGGGAGAGGAGAGUGGAAUUCCCGGUGUAGCGGUGAAGUGCGUAGAUAUCGGGAGGAACACCUGUGGCGAAAGCGGCUCUCUGGACCACAACUGACGCUGAGGCGCGAAAGCUAGGGGAGCAAACAGG